rnacentral:rRNA from 1 species
GAUUAAAAAGAAUGAAUUGGACGGAUGCCCGAGCAUUAACAAGGAAGGACGCUUUUACAGGCGAAAGGACAUGGGGAGAUACCGUCUAUGAUCGAUGGAUCUCCGACCAUGAAACUGUAUCCAAGCUCCUUGGCUAGUCACGCUCUCUGGAUUUUUCAAACUUAGCGAACUGAAAUAUCUUAUUAACAAAAGGAAAGGAAAUCAAUUGAGACACCUUUAGUAGCAGCGAGAGAGAGUGGAUUGGGGGUUUGAAGAAAAAUAAACACGAAGCUUCGUUCCUCAGCAAAGUGUCCACUUCUUUUUCGCUAGGUUUCAUUUGAUUUAUUAUGGAUUGGAUGAUGGAAAAACCAAAAAGCUACGGAUUCAAAGCUUACCUUAUUUAGAAAAAGAGAAAGGGCUUUAUUUUAAUAGAUGUUGAGGUUGAGUGAGGGGGUGGAGCUUGAAUAGCGAAGGAGCAGCGCUAGCCUAGCAAUGUUUUUUAGCAAGAAGCGGAGGUUUAACGACCCCUUAACCUAGGUUGGGGAAAAAACUCCAAAAUCCAAAACACUGGUAAGAUUUCCAAACCUUUCUAUAAUAAUAAGGUAAGAUUUCAAGCCGCUGCCCUUUAAAAGAGCGGGUGAAGUGAACUAUAAUUAUGAAAAGAUUAGAAGAUCUGGCCAAAAAAGUUGAUAGCCCUGUAGAUUCGUUCCCAUGGUUCGAUCCUUCCCAGUAAAAUGCGGCGUGUUCGAAUUAUGGUCUCUCUUAUGCGAGAAAGAGGGACCACCAUCUAAGCCUAAGUGUUCCACAAUGACCGAUAGCAUACAAGUACCGUGAGGGAAAGGUGAAAAGGACCCUAUUUAGGGAGUGCAAUAGAGAACUUGAGAUUCGUUCCGAAAAAUCAACCGAAGGAGCAGAGCUUAGAGCCUUUACUUUAUGUAAUGUGUAGUCACUCUAACGGCAUACCUUUUGUAUGAUGGGUCUGUGAGGAAAUGGGAACAAUGGCUUAAGCCAUUAGGUGUAGGUGCUUUCCAGAGGUGGAAUCUUCUGGUUCUUCCUAUUUGACACGAAACCGAUCGAUCUAGGCUUGAGUAGGUUGAAGAGAGCUCUGACAAGCCUUGGAGGACCGAACCCACGUAUGUGAAAAAAUAUAGGGAUGACUUGUGGCUAGUGGUGAAAAGCCAACCAAGAUCGGAUAUAGCUAGUUUUUUGCGAAAUCUAUUUCUGUAGAGCGUAUGAUGUCGAUGGCCCAAGGUAGAGCACUCAAUGGGGUAGGGUGGCCUCAUUUCACCUUACUAACCCUAGGGAAACUCUGAAUACUGGCCUGUAUCGUUUGUAUAGACAGACUUUUUUGGUUCUAAGGUCCAAAGUCGAGAGAGAAACACCCCAGAUCGUAUGCUUACGUCCCUAAGCAAUCACUUAGUGGAAAAGGAAAUUCAUUGAGCAAUGACAACCUGGAGGUUGUCUUGGAAGCAGACAUCCUUUGAAGAAAGCAUAAUAGCUCACUGGUCUAAGUCCAUGGCACCAAAAAUGUAUCAGGGCUCAAGUGAUUCACCGAAGGGACGAGACCUUAAAAGCUGCUUUUUCAAGUGUUAGUAGAGGAACGUUUUGUCAAUCCGGGAAGGUUUCUAGUGACAAGACAUUGAGAUAUCAGAAGUGAGAAUGCUAACAUGAGUAACAAAAAAUCUACAAAAAAAUACGAUCGCCUGCCAGUGGAAGGUUUUCUGCAUUCAGUCAAUAAACGCAGAGUGAAUCGGUCCCUAAGAGACCCCCGAAAGGGCUGCCAUCUGACGGGUACAUGAAAGUGACGAAGUUGCUUUGACUAUAGAAUCAUGCCAGUCUGUUGGAGCGAAUUGGAUGUGAGCUGAGGGCUACCCCCUCUUCCUCUCACUCUCAUUUCCCUAAUAUGAACCUUGAGUCAUCAAUUCCUUUCUUACUCUACCUAGCCCGGUCGCCCUACGCGACUGGCACUUCAAAAGGCUCAACUCUCGAUCGUAGUUUGGCAACCUAUCUUUAGUAAGGGCCUUUAGUCUUUUGAUUAGAGUAGGGGUCGUGAGAGAGCAAGUGUACCAUCCUGCCAUCGUCACAAAUUUGUUUAUAGUUACGACUGUUGUCAUAGUCAACAAGGUUGAGACUUUCAGGAAAAAAACUUUGAAUUGGAAGAGCAAUCCUCCCGGUAAACUGACUGUACCCCAAACCGACACAGGUGAACAAGUAGAGUAUACUAGGGCGCUUGAGAGAACCAUGUUGAAGGAACUCAGCAAAAUGACCUCGUAACUUAGGGAGAAGGGGUGCUCUCCUAUCUUUUGAUUAGGAAAGCGGCACAUACUAGGGGCAAUGACUGUUUAUUAAAAACACAUGACUUUGCUAAGUGGUAACACAAUGUAUAGAGUCUGGUACCUUCCCAGUGUUGGAAGGUCGAAAGGCCAAGUGUUAUAUUCUUUGAAUGGAAGCCCUAGUAAAUGGCAGCAGUAACUCUAACUAUCCCAAGGUAGCGAAAUUCCUUGUCACAUAAGUAGCGACCGACACAAAUGGUGUAACGACUACCCCGCUUUCUUCGACAUGGACUCGAUUGUUCCCAAAUUUAGUUAA